UGGGUAUGCAGUUAAGCGAAAACCAUCAAAAGUUGAUAUGGAAGCUCUGAGGCUAAUGGGUUCAGUUGUUGUAGGAGCUGGAAUUAUUAGCGGAAAGGAGCUUGAGAGGAACGAUGACGAACUCAUGUAUCUUAGGGCAAAUUUCGCUAGAGGGAUCAUCUGAAGCUAAAUCUUUCCAUUUGAUAGAUCCUGAUGGAAGCAUAGGUCAGGAGCUUAGUAUCUUCUUUUUUCGCUCAAGAGACACCAUUCACUCGGACCUUUCAUGGAUUAGUUGGUGAUAUCAAGCCUAAACCUUGGGUGUUGAAGAACCUUUUUUUUG
rnacentral:misc_RNA from 1 species